rnacentral:rRNA from 1 species
GACGAACCGUGCGAACGUUGUUCGGAUUCACUGGGCUUAAAGGGCGCGUAGGCGGCUCGCCGAGUCAGGGGUGAAAUCUUUCGGCUCAACCGGAAAAGCGCUUCUGAUACUGGCGGGCUGGAGGGAGGUAGGGGCGACUGGAACUUCCGGUGGAGCGGUGAAAUGCGUAGAUAUCAGGAGGAACACCAAUAGCGAAGGCAGCUCGCUGGGACGUUACUGACACUGAGGCGCGAAAGCGUGGGGAGCGAACAGG